GUCUAGGGCUAGUAAAAAGAAAAGUUAGUAGUGUCAGUCGUGUUUAAAAAUUUCGUUAGUAAAAGUGGGUAGUUCGACCAAUUGUCACCCCAAACUGACGGUUGACUGUUACCGUGCAGAUAAUUCUAAAAGAAAAGGUCCACAAAGGGCCUUUUUCUUUUCUUUGGCAGCAUUUGUCCUGGAGCGAGCGCCAUUGUGUUCGAGGUCAAAGGACAAGCCCGGCAUUAUUAGCGAAGCCAUUUUGCAAAGGCCACGUUGCAGCGGUAAGUCCAUUGUGACACGCGUUCGGGAUUGGUCCUCCAGCUGGGUUCAGGAGAACCAGCUUGGAGCAGUGCAGCAGUCGCUACCGCGGGUUCUAACGAGCCAAUAUCGUCCCGCUUCUUUCUCUUCCGCCACCCUCUAUGCUGUUUUGGUUGCCACCGCUCCGCGAACUGCAUGCACCGGGCGAGUUAUCACGCAAUCGCCACGCAGUCACCAGAAUUAGACCAAUUAGUGAUUCGCCAGAAUAACCACCA